rnacentral:rRNA from 1 species
AUUGAACGCUGGCGGCGUGCUUAACACAUGCAAGUCGAACGCGAAAGGGACUUCGGUCCUGAGUAAAGUGGCGCACGGGUGAGUAACGCGUGGAUAAUCUGCCCUUAUGAUUGGAAUAACAGUUGGAAACGGCUGCUAAUACCGGAUACGCUCAAAAUGAACUUUUUGAGGAAAGAUGGUCUCUGCUUGCAUGCUAUCGCAUAAGGAUGAGUCCGCGUCCCAUUAGCUUGUUGGCGGGGUAACGGCCCACCAAGGCAUCGAUGGGUAGCCGAUUUGAGAGGAUGAUCGGCCACACUGGAACUGAAACACGGUCCAGACUCCUACGGGAGGCAGCAGUGGGGAAUAUUGCGCAAUGGGCGAAAGCCUGACGCAGCGACGCCGCGUGAGGGAUGAAGGUUUUCGGAUCGUAAACCUCUGUCAGAAGGGAAGAAACUACGUUGUGCUAAUCAGCAGCGUACUGACGGUACCUUCAAAGGAAGCACCGGCUAACUCCGUGCCAGCAGCCGCCGCAG